rnacentral:misc_RNA from 1 species
AUCAAACAACAGUUUUGACAUAUAUAUAUUAACUCAAAAGGCACAACUAUGGUAGGUCUUUGCUACAUUGUUGCUCAGGAUUUGCAACACUACAUUAUUUGUGGGGCCGAUGCACCGCGGGGUUUUAAAUUGGCUAACAGCAGCUCCUAAUCCCAGAUAAUGAUCUAGAAUCUUUUGGAAGGUUCCUCUGCGAACGACUCUGAGCUCAAGGGGUCCAAUGGCAUUGAUCUUGCGCGAAGUAAUGUAGCCUGCAUCGAGAAAAGAUCGGUCCAUGCAAUUGCAACACUCUUUUAAGACCUCCUCGGUUGGUUCCCCACUAAUUUCCC